AUGACUUCGAAGAGCGGCAGCAACUGGAUCAUGACUUGGGGCGAGGAAUCCAUGGUGGUCAUUCUCGUCCACCACGACGGCUCUCCCCUUCGCUCGGCCAUUGCAUCGGCAACUCCCCAGCGCUUAUCUACGGCGCCGGUCGCCUCCACCACCACAGCGCCCCUCCCCGCGCUCCCACCACGCCGCCACACAGAUCCAACUCCCCAUCGCUGUCGCCCCUGUCAAUCCCCAUCGAUCUCGAUCUGGAAAAAAAUUGUGAGGUAUGCGGCGGAUCCUGUCGAUCUUGUGUGCAUUCGGGGGCCGGGGAGCGAGGACGGGCACCGCGGAGCAAGGGAUGGAGGCGCGGCGGCGGAGGGACCGUCGUUCUCGCAGAGCAGGGGGUGGGGCGCAGCGGCGGAGGAACCCUCGUUCUCCUGGGCCGAUGACCGUCACCGCCAGCCACUCGUUCGCUCCUCCUCCUCCUCCUCCAAGCGGCGAUCGAGUUUGAUGAUUCCAGGUGCGGGCAUCAGGAUCUCUGCUAUUGGAUCCAGGUUCGGGAGAUUAAAGGUCCGCUCGUUCGAUCCUGUCGUCGGCCAUACUCCAAGCGGCCUGGGCAUCGAGCUCGGCUUCGACACCCGCACCAUCCAGAGUUCAGUUCGUGUUUUCUCCCGUAACCCUAAUGGCAAUCAUGUAACCAGAUACAUUAUUGCGAAGACAUCAGCACCACACACACCCCCAUCAAAUCCGUCCAAGCUCAUCCUGUCUCCUCUCAGAUCUCGGUGGCUGCUCCAUUCUCGGUGCCUGAUUAAGCACAAGAUAAUGAAGUACAUCUCUAACUUAAAUGUCAGAGUUUGGCUAGUUACUGUUUCUGAAAUUUAUGUUUAUAUGGAGCACGAAUCUUAUGCUUCCAUGCAUGACCAACCACAGACUAGCGUGCAACUCCUCACCGUCCGUCUCAUCACCGCAAUGAGCAGCCCUUGUUUAGUCGGCAGACUCCUAAUUGUAGAGCUUCAGAUGGUAGCAUGUGCGGCAGCUGACACGGAGAAGAAAAAAUCAGUUAAACGGAGUAGUGCACCGAUUUGGAACGGCGCAGCCGAGGCGCCCAUCAGCGCCUGCGACGCCCUGCACCCGAGCUCCGCCGCGAGCGCCGAUCCUACCCUGCUCGUACGUUUGCAAAAACAAGCACCGUCAGACCGAAGGGAUAGGGGCGGAGUUGCAGCUGCAGGACUUACCGUCGCGGAGAGCCUCACAGCGGAGGAGAGGAAGGGGUUUCCGAAUCCUUCAAUGGCGACGGCCGGGAACUGGGUUAGGUCCUCGCCGUAUCAAACCCACGGCUUGCAACAACGAGACGGUUUGAGUCGGCGGUACCGAACCAGCGAGAUUCUGGCUUGGGCGAACGACGGGGUGGAGGACGCAUAUUCUGCUCGUGCGAUGCGCCGCAACCGAUCACCAUGGCAGCAGUUAGGGAUGAACAGCAACGGAACAACACGACAGAUGGAGGUUCAGUGCUGGUCUUUUAAACCAAGAUGCGACGAGAAAUUGAAGCCUAAAGUGGGGAGGACAUUUGAAGGGCUUGAGACCGUGGAGGAGUUAUACAAGUCAUAUAGACAUCAUGUGUGUUUUGGAGCUCGUGUUGGACAGCAGAAAAAGUUGAACAAUGUGGUGUCAACAACACCUUCACAAUCACUUCUUGUUUGUAAGCUUCCAGGUCCGGAAGCUUGCAGCAACAGCAACAUGUUCUUGUUUGUGAAUAUGCGAAAGAAAAGUAGUAACAUGGUCACAAGGAAUGCAGAAGCAGCAGUAUACAAGGGGUUGCUUAGUUGUGCUCUCUGCCAACAGGUUUGUUGUAAGCAGGACGCCGUAGUGAUGGUGUGUAGGUUGCGUCCGGCGGCGGACUCGGCGUCAGGGACCGGCAAGAUGACGGGUGGGCGCGGAGGUAGGCCAAACAUGGUGGAUCUCGCCGCGGGCGUCAAAAGGAUCACCGGGGCCAUGGAGUCGUUUGAGGCGGAAGACCGCAGAGGCUGGCCAAGCCAGACAAGCGCGUCCACCGUUCAAGGGAUAACCGGACCAUGGAUCCGUUUGAGGCAGACGAGCGCAGUGGUAGGCCAAGCGCGGCUGCCAUCGAAGGAUUCACCAGGGCGCCGCCAUGGAGCGAUUGGAGGAGAGGAUCCAGAUUAA
rnacentral:rRNA from 1 species